GACAGAGGUGCCGAGCGUUAGGCGGAAUCACUGGGCUUAAAGCGUGUGUAGGCGGGCGGGCAAGUACCUUGUGAAAUCCCACGGCUCAACCGUGGAACGGCUGGGUAUACUGCCUGUCUUGAGCCAACUAGGUGCGAGCGGAACAGACGGUGGAGCGGUGAAAUGCGUAGAUAUCGUCUGGAACGCCAAAGGUGAAAACAGCUCGCUGGGGUUGUGCUGACGCUGAGACACGAAAGCCAGGGGAGCGAACGGG
rnacentral:rRNA from 1 species